UGAAUAGAUAGAGGUUGCGUGAUUCAUGAGUAGCUUAUCGGAUGUGACAGGCACAGAGGAUGAUAACUGAAAGGGAAGAACGCCGAAAGAAGUUCUUUUCCUGAAGAGAGAUUCUUGGGCAUAUAGUGAAUAAUUAUAUGACUGUCAUCAGUGGAUGGAGUGCUAUCAUGGAU
rnacentral:ncRNA from 2 species